rnacentral:lncRNA from 1 species
ACUCCGGGCCAGCUUGCCUUGUUGAAAAGCUUCCGAGUUGGAAGUCGAGUCUCCCUGUUUUUGGUCUCUGCUGCGCUCCCUUCCGCUUUGUGACCUUGAGCAAAUUCAUCCCUCCUCUCUAAACUUGUUUCCUCCCCUGUGAAAUGAGACUUGUAAUUUCUACCCCACAGCGAUGUUGCCAGGCUCCGACAAAGUAAGGCACAGGAAAGCCUCAAGCACCCUGAAAGCGCAACGCAAAUGGAGGGGUUGGUUUGGUUUCGUUUUUUUAAUUUUAAUUGUGUGACCUCAUUCGGAGACCCAGAAACCGCCUCUCCCCAGCCUGCCUUCUGUAACUAUGAUUUUCUGACUGUCGUCCUGGGAAGUUUGUUAAAAUGGGUGCUACUGGGGUAUUGAACCAAAAGUUUACCGGGGAGUGUCUCCCUGCAGUCUACAUUUUAAACCGAUCUCUCGGGUGAUUCUUACCCACCUACAAAUUUGAGAAUCUCUGCGUUUAUCAGUUUUGCACAGGCUGGUUUCCUCCGGAAUUUCUGCUCUAGUGUCUCUGAACAUUUAAGACCCAUCUCAUAGGUCAUCUGUGAUGCUUUCAAAGUUGACUAGCUCCUCCCUAUGCCUGUGUUCCCACAGUAAGUUUGCAUCUUACUCUGUAAGUAUCGGGGCCUUCCCCGACAAGACUGUGAGCUCUUUGAGAGCCGAGAUCAGUUUUGAUGGAUUUCUGCACCUCCAGAGAAAAGUAGACACAGUACACAUCAAUUAAUAAAGAAAUCUAAUGCUCUUCCUAAGAGAAAAGCUGCAAGGCUCAACUCAAGUAGCAGACCACGCCACAUCAGCCCUUGCCCUUAGUGGCUUCGGCAGCAUUCCUUGCACACGGCUUACUCUUUCUUCCUUCUUUGAGCACUUCUUGUGGUCGACGUACUGCGCAGUGCUUCUUAAAACGUUCUAAUUUAAUUGAUUUUAUUUUUAUUUAUUUAUUUAUUUAUUUAUUGAGAUUCUCCCUAUGUC